rnacentral:rRNA from 1 species
UACAGAGGUCUCAAGCGUUAUUCGGAAUCACUGGGCGUAAAGCGUACGUAGGCUGUAAAGUAAGUCCGAUGUGAAAUUUAGGGGCUCAACCUCUGGACUGCAUUGGAUACUGCGUUACUGGAGCAAUGGAGGGGAAACCGGAAUUCUCGGUGUAGCAGUGAAAUGCGUAGAUAUCGAGAGGAAGACUCGUGGCGAAGGCGGGUUUCUGGACAUUAGCUGACGCUGAGGUACGAAGGCCAGGGUAGCGAAA